ensembl:lncRNA
GACAGAAUUAGAGAGAGACAGACAGAGAGACAGACAGACAGAAAGAGAGACAGACAGAGAGAGACAGACAGACAGAAUUAGAGAGAGACAGACAGAGAGACAGACAGACAGAAUUAGAGAGAGACAGACAGAGAGACAGACAGACAGAAUUAGAGGGAGACAGACAGACAGAAUUAGAGAGAGACAGACAGAGACAGACAGACAGAAGUAGAGCAAGACCGACAGAGAGACAGACAUACAGAAUUAGAGAGAGACAGACAGACAGACAGACAGACAGACAGACAGACAGACAGACAGACAGACAGACAGACAGACAGACAGACAGAAUUAGAGAGACAGACAGACAGACAUAAUUAGAGAGAGACAGACAGAGAGACAGACAGAAUUAGAGAGAGACAGACAGAGAGAGACAGACAGACAGAAUUAGAGAGAGACAGAAUUAGAGAGAGACAGACAGAGAGAGACAGACAGACAGAAUUAGAGAGAGAGAGACAGACAGACAGACAGACAGACAGACAGACAGACAGACAGACAGACAGACAGACAGACAGACAGACAGACAGACAGACAGACAGACAGACAGACAGACAGACAGACAGACAGACAGACAGAGAGAGACAGACAGACAGACAGAAUUAGAGAGAGACAGACAGAGAGACAGACAGAAUUAGAGAGAGACAGACAGACGAAAUGAGAGAACAAGAGACCCCGCGAAAUAAUGGACUAUCAAAGGGAGGAGCUGGUUCUUUCAUGUCAGGACACUUUGAUUCUGUUGCUGAUUGGUUCCAGGUGAGCCAGAGAGGAGAACCAAUAAGAGGAAAGAGAGUCUAAGCAAGAUGACAUUCCAAAACUAUUAAACUACGAUAGUAGUAGGAUUUAGAGGGUGUAGAGAUUAAAGGGGAGUAGAGAAUCCAUGAAGCUCAAAUGUUAUGUUGAGGUUGGUGGCAACAUAGCAGAGGGGGGUACGACUCUCCUUCAGGAGGUUGGGCGUUACUGGUAUAAAUCUCUUUACAAAACACCAGGCCCAAAAGGAGUAGCUUUUCAAUACGGUAUCAACUUUAGCCAUGUCUGAACAUUGUAUGUGUGUAUGUGCCUCUCUCUGGGAGAUAAUGGGAUGACAUUCACAUGAGACGUAGUCAUUUGGCAGGCAGACACUGUCAACAAGAUGCUUCCAGAGAUCCAAAGCAAUUUCAGAGAUUUCAGAGAUAUUUCCAAAGCUAUUUCAGUUCUCUGAACUGUUGAGACGGUGAUGAUGCCUUGGCCAUCCUUGGCUUAAAGUCUACAUGGGUUAAAGACUACAUGGGUUAAAUUAUACAUGGGUUAAAUUAUACAUGGGUUAAAUUAUACAUGGGUUAAAUUAUAC